rnacentral:lncRNA from 1 species
CUAGAUUGUCAAACCAUGAUUGUAUUGGACUUUUGUGUAAGAAGAUAUGGUUGUUUUAAAUUUGGUCUGUUUGUGUUAGAAAGGUCAAAAAACGUGUGCUAGUUAAUUUGUCUAGGUUAGUUUGUCAAAGUCUGUUUUUUGGGCUUGACUUCUGCCAUGUUGAAUUAUUCCUAACUUUGGAGGGAUGUUCCAAUUAUAAAUAUAGUAUCAGAAUAUGUAAUAAAGAACUUUUGGCCAAGAUUUGAAACUUAAUUCACAGAAUUAAGAGUUGUUCUUCCAAAUUGAUUUUGUGAAGAACCCUACCUGACUUAUCACUCUUCAAUCACAAAGAGUGUGGCGUCGAAAUCCUAGAUUGAUCUUUGUGGCGUCCAGAUCGACUUAUCAAAGUAUCAUUCUAGUCUAUCCUCCAUCUUAUUUACCUUGAAAUCACUAUAAUCCAGCCUAAACACCAAAAGAAAGACAACACAACCAGACCCAUCCUUCAUCCAUUUUCGUCAGAUUCAUUGUUGCCGAUUUUCGAAUCAUUCACGGCACAUCAUCUGGUAUCAGAGCAUCAGUUGCGAUCUAAGGCAGGAGCCAAAAACAGAAGAAAGGCUUGCUGGAAUUAAGGUUGAUAAACUUAAUUAUGGCUGGAGAUAAAGAAGAUUUGCCAAGAGGGUUAAGUUUGGAACAGGCACAGGUUAUGGGCUUACAACGAUCUCAUGCUGAGAUUCGGGAUGAAAUGACUGGAAUUCGUGAACAGUUGAAUACCCUUAUGCAAAUGAUGCAAAGACAUAAUUUGCAACCCCAACAAAGGCAAGCACUUAGGGUGCCACGAAAUGAUAUUAUAGAAGCUGACGAAGAUCCAAAUGGGGAUGAUGAGGCCGACGAUAGGGGCAGACCAAGAAGGCAGAAUUAUAAUCCUCCUAAUGGUCUCAAACUUAAGAUUCCACCGUUUAGAGGAAGUAGUUCACCUGAGGAAUACCUGGAGUGGAUUCAGAAGGUUGAAAAGGUGUUUGAAUGGUAUGAAUAUUCUGAAGAAAGGAAGUGCAAGGUGGCAGCACUUGAGUUUACAGAUUAUGCUCUUUUAUGGUGGGAAAACUUGAAGAUUCAGAGGAGAAGGGAUGGAGAAGAGGAGAUUACAACGUGGGCAACUAUGAAAAGAGUGAUGAAGAAGAGAUUUGUUCCUGAUUACUAUAAACAGGAGCUAUACAUCAGACUUCAAACUUUGCGACAAGGAUCUUUGAGCGUGGAAGAGUAUGUGAAAGAGUUUGAGUUGCUGCUGAUUCGAUGUGAAUUGAUGGAACCCCAAGAGCAAACAAUAGCUAGAUUUCUUGGAGGGUUGAGGAAGGAUAUAGCUAAUGUUGUUGAAUUACAGCCGUACAUCUUCCUUGAGGAAGUUAUAAAGCUUGCAACUCGAGUAGAGAGGCAGCAGAAACGAGGAGGUGUCCGAACUGGUGUAACUACGUCAAGCACAACAAGGGCUGUUUCUACACCUACACGAACAUGGAGCACACUUAAACGAGAUGAGAAGGUGGAGUUUACUAAGGGGAAUACCAGUUCUGAUUCUUUGAAGGGAAAGGAGAAGGUGACAGAACCUCAACAUCCUAGGAGGUCUCGGGACAUCAAGUGCUUCAAGUGCUUAGGACAUGGGCACAUUGCUUCGGAAUGUCCAAAUAAAAGGGUGAUGAUUUUGCAUGGGGAUCAUGGAGAGCUGAUCAGUGGAGAUGAGGUUGAAACUGAAGAUGAAGAUGAGAUACAAGUGGCUGAACAAGAAGAGGAUUUCGAACCAGUGAAGGGAGAUUUAUUGGUUGUGCAACGGGUUCUGAAUGCACAAAUUGACGUUAGUGAUGAGCAACGCGAGAACAUCUUUCAUACUCGAUGUCAGAUUCGAGAUAAGGUGUGUGGGAUGAUCAUUGACAAUGGAAGUUGCACUAAUGUUGCGUCAACUACCUUGGUGGAGAAAUUGGGUUUAACUACCCUUCCACAUCCCAGGCCGUACAGUUUGCGAUGGCUGAAUGAGAAUGGGGAGAUUCGGGUGACAAAGCAAGUUCGUGUACCUUUUUCCAUUAAAACCUAUCAUGACGAGGUUUUGUGUGACGUUGCGCCAAUGUCAGCUAGCCAUUUGUUGCUGGGUCGUCCAUGGCAGUUUGAUAAGGAUGUGACCUACAAUGGACGAAAGAACACUUAUUCUUUUAUGCUGAAUGGAAAGAAGGUGAACUUGUUACCAUUGAGUUCUCAACAGGUUAGAGAGGAUCAGAUACGAAGCCAACAAAAGGAGGUGAAAUCACGUAAGGGGCUGUUGUUAGCCAAAAAAGGAGACAUCAAACAAGCAUUAGCUUCAGCAGGGGUUGUUUUCAUGAUCUGGGCAAAGCAAUUACUACAAGUAGAAGGAUUGGACUUACCAAUACAGAUUAAAGAAUUGCUUGAAGAAUUUAAAGAUGUGUUUCCAGAUGAAUUACCUAAAGGGUUACCACCUAUUCGUGGAAUUGAGCAUCAAAUUGAUUUGGUGCCGGGAGCUUCACUUCCUAACAGACCAGCAUACAAAUGUAAUCCAGAGGAAGCAAAAGAGAUUCAAAGGCAGGUUGGUGAGCUCUUAGAGAAGGGCUAUGUGCGAGAAUCACUUAGUCCAUGUUCCGUACCUACUUUGCUUGUACCGAAGAAAGAUGGUACCAUGAGGAUGUGUAUGGACAGCCGCGCUAUCAACAAAAUAACAGUUAAGUAUCGAUUUCCUAUACCCAGACUUGAUGAUUUGCUUGAUGAGUUGCAUGGAGCUGCAUUGUUUUCUAAAGUCGAUUUGAUGAGUGGUUAUCACCAAAUUAGAAUGAAAGAAGGAGAUGAAUGGAAAACAGCAUUUAAAACUAAACAGGGGUUAUAUGAAUGGAUGGUAAUGCCGUUUGGGUUAUCUAAUGCGCCUAGUACAUUUAUGAGGCUUAUGAAUCAUGUUUUGAGGAAGUAUAUUGGGCUGUUUGUUGUAGUAUAUUUUGAUGAUAUCCUGGUGUAUAGCAAGACCUUUGAUGAUCAUAUGAAGCAUCUUAGAGUUGUGUUUGAAACUUUGCGAGAUUCUAAGUUGUAUGGGAAACUCACAAAGUGUUACUUCUGUAAAGAAAGUGUCGUGUUUCUUGGCUAUAUUAUCUCGAGCAGGGGAGUUAAGGUUGAUGAGGAGAAAAUUGAGGCAAUUCGGGACUGGCCAAAACCUGCUAGUAUCGCUGAUGUGAGGAGUUUCCAUGGUUUAGCUUCUUUCUAUAGGCGAUUUGUGAAAGACUUCAGCUCUAUUGUUGCUCCUAUGACAGAAUGCUUGAAAAAAGGGAACGACUUUAGAUGGAGUGAAGAUGCGCAGAAAGCAUUUGAGCUAAUUAAGGAGAAGUUGUGUACUGCUCCAGUUUUAGCACUUCCAGACUUUGCUAAAACAUUUGAAAUAGAGUGCGAUGCUUCCGGAGUUGGAAUUGGGGCUGUCUUGCUGCAAGAAAAGAGGCCGAUUGCAUUCUUCAGUGAAAAGUUAAAUGGAGCACGUUUGAACUACUCUAUUUACGACAAGGAGUUCUAUGCUUUGAUUCGGGCUCUAGAGGUAUGGCAGCACUACUUGUUGCCUAAAGAAUUUGUUAUACAUACUGAUCAUGAAUCCUUGAAGUAUCUUAAGGGGCAAAGCAAGCUAAAUCGCAGACAUGCUAAAUGGGUGGAGUUUAUGGAGUCAUUUCCUUAUGUCAUAAAGUACAAGAAAGGGCAAGUUAAUGUGGUUGCUGAUGCUCUUUCUAGGAGGUUUGCACUGAUCUCUAUGUUGAAUGCAAAGCUGAUGGGUUUUGAACAAGUGAAGGAACAGUAUGCUAAUGAUUCCUACUUUGCUAAUGUGGUUGUUGAAUGUGCAAAGGGAGCUUGUGAUGGGUUCUUUAUGCAUGAAGGUUACUUGUUCAAAAUGGGCAGAAUGUGUAUUCCUUCAGGAUCGUUACGGGAGUUGCUUGUGCGAGAGGCUCAUGGUGGUGGUCUUAGUGGUCAUUUUGGGGAGAAGAAGACUUAUGAGCUGCUGAAAGAACAUUUCUUUUGGCCUAGCAUGUUACGGGAUGUGCACAAGGUGAUUGAGAGAUGUGCUAUUUGCAAGAAAGCUAAGGGUAAAGAGAAUGCAUAUGGACUGUAUAUGCCAUUGCCUAUUCCAGAGCAACCAUGGAUGGAUGUUAGCAUGGACUUUGUACUUGGGUUACCAAGAACACAGCGUGGAAAGGAUUCAAUAAUGGUCGUGGUUGAUCGAUUCUCCAAAAUGUCUCAUUUCAUUCCUUGCAACAAAACUGAUGAUGCAGUACAUGUUGCUGAUUUGUUCUUUCAAGAGAUUGUUCGUUUGCAUGGAGUUCCUAAAAGCAUUGUCUCUGAUCGUGAUACAAAGUUCUUAAGCCACUUUUGGAAGACUCUUUGGAGGAAGCUUGGAACGAAGUUACUUUUCAGUACGGCAUGUCAUCCACAAACUGAUGGACAAACUGAGGUAGUAAACCGAACUUUAUCUUCUUUGUUACGAGCUGUUAUACAUAAGAAUUUGAAGAGUUGGGAUACUUGUUUGCCUAUUGUGGAGUUUGCAUAUAAUCGUAGUGUGCAUGGGGCUACAAAAUUUUCACCAUUUGAGGUUGUGUAUGGCUUUAAUCCUUGUGUUCCUAUUGAUCUUAUUCAUAUUCCAAUUGAUGAGAGGACAUCUAUGGAUGGAAUUAGAAAGGCAGAAUUGAUGAAGAAACUACAUGAGCAGGUUCGAUUACAUAUUGAGGAGAAAACGAUAAAGUAUGCUAAACAGGCUAACAAAGGGCGGAAAAUGGUUAGGUUUGAACCUGGAGAUCUUGUUUGGAUUCAUAUUAGCAAGGGCAGAUUCCCAAGCAAACGUAAGUCCAAGUUGAUGCCAAGAGCUGAUGGUCCAUUUCGGAUUAUAGAGAAGGUGAAUGACAAUGCGUAUAAGGUAGAUCUUCCUGGUAAUUACAACGUAUCAGCUACUUUUAAUGUGAAAGACUUGACUCCAUACUUGGAUGACGAUGACGAUUCUGAUUUGAGGACAAAUCAUUUUCAACCCGGGGCUGAUGAUGUGCAUCAUGGGAAUUAUAAUCCAUCUUGUAAGGCUAAAACUAAUGUGCAAGAGGAUUCAGAUGGUCCAAUGACAAGAGCGAGAGCGAAACAACUACAAAGGGCCUUGACAAGUCAAAUUGGAAUGAUUGAAGCUGCGUCAGAGUUAAAAAUUAGCAAUCAGUUUGAAAUUGGUUCAAGGAUGUUUAUUUGCCUACAAUUGGAACUUGGAGAUGAGAAAAGCCCUUAAUUGUUCUUUUGAUGCUGGGCUACUCGAAUUUGGGUUGAUAUGCAAAUAAGUGAAGGAAUUGAUGCUGUUUAUGGUCAGAACAGCAAAUGAAUUUGAACCCGAAUUUGAAGUCAUCCAUUGCAUGUGAAAACAAGACUAAUCAAGGUGGAUUUCAAGUUCAGAACGUGUUCUUUCUAGAUUGUCAAACCAUGAUUGUAUUGGACUUUUGUGUAAGAAGAUAUGGUUGUUUUAAAUUUGGUCUGUUUGUGUUAGAAAGGUCAAAAAAACGUGUGCUAGUUAAUUUGUCUAGGUUAGUUUGUCAAAGUCUGUUUUUUGGGCUUGACUUCUGCCAUGUUGAAUUAUUCCUAACUUUGGAGGGAUGUUCCAAUUAUAAAUAUAGUAU